CAAUCUCUGUGUGGUCACAGAUGAGUGAAUUUCUUUCCUGGGAAUUGCUUAUGUCCUUUGACUCUCCUAGUUAAGCAGCUUACACUUUCCUUCCGGAUUUGUAAAGAGCACUUUAAUUAAAAUAAGAAGUAACGCUUUGUCAGUUAAAUGUUUUUCCAACAUAUUUCUUGUUUCCCUUUAUUUUAAAAUUGUUUUUAGCUAUGGAGAAAUGAUUUCUUUCAUUUUUGUGAAAUCAAGGUUAUCAUUAUUGUUUAUGGCUUCUGAGUUUAUGUCAUGCUUAGACAGGUUUAUUGCAACUCCAUAUAAUAAACAGUGUUAUGACAUUUCAUACUUUAACAUUUUAGAGUUAAAUCUUAGGUACAUCUAGAAUUGAUUUUGUAUGAGAAUGCAAGGUAAACGUCUGUUUUCCUUCAAUUACUUGCACUGGAGCCACUGCGGUACACUGAGCGCCACAGAGACAGCGCCGGGCCAAGUGAGAGCUGGACGGGCACUGGGCGACUCUGUGCCUCGCCGAGGAAAAAUAACUAAACAUGGGCAAAGUAAUCUUAAGAAGAGGAGAGGCUAAAUGUCAUCGUAUGCAUUUUUUGUGCAAACUUGUCAGGAGGAGCAUAAGCGGCAGCACCCAGAUGCUUCAGGCAGCUUCUCAGAGUUUUCUAAGAAGUGCUCAGAGAGGGGGAAGACCACGUCUGCUAAAGAGAAGGGCAAAUUUGAAGAUCUGACAAAGGCGGACAAGGCUUGUUAUGGGAGAGAAAUGAAAACCUAUAUUCCUCCUAAAGGGGAGACAAAAAAGAACUUCAAGGAUCCCAAUGCACCGAGAGGCUUCCUUCGCCCUUUUUCCUGUUCUGCUCUGAGUAUCACACCCAAAAAUUAAAGAACACCCUGGCCUGUCCAUUGGUGAUGCUGCAAAGAAACCGGGAGAGAUGUGGAGUAACACUGCUGCAGACGACAGGCAGCCUUAUGAAAAGAAGCCUUUGAAGCUGAAGGAAAAGCAUGAAAAGGGUAGUGCUGCAUAUGGAGCUAAAGGAAAGCCUGCUGCGGCAAAGCAGGGAGUUGUCAAGGCUGAAAAAGCGAGAAAAAGAAGAGGAGAAAGAAGAGGAUGAGGAGGAAGAUGAAGAUGAAGAUGAUGAGGAUGAAUAAGUUGGUUCUAGUGCAGUUUUUUUCUUGACUAUAAAGCAUUUAACCCCCUGUACACAACUCGCUCCUUUUAAAGAAACAAAU